rnacentral:misc_RNA from 1 species
CCGAGUUUACAACUCCCAAACCUCUGUGAACAUACCACUUGUUGCCUCGGCGGAUCAGCCCGCUCCCGGUAAACGGGACGGCCCGCCAGAGGACCCCUAAACUCUGUUUCUAUAUGUAACUUCUGAGUAAAACCAUAAAUAAAUCA